AUUGGAGAACAGCAAAGAAAUGUUCAAGCUGGAAGUCAGCUGGAAGAUGCAGCAAAUAUUUGAGGAGUCAUCCAUUCCUAGGGGAGAUUCACGAAAUCACUCCAGGACACUGUGUCAGAAGAGCAAAGGAGCAUUAGAUGUGAAAACGCUCCCCGGAGCUGCAGAGCCCUAUAAAGGUGAGAAAAUGGAGGAUCAAAGAUGACAAGUAACUUGUCAAAGGUAACAUAACAAGGAAGUGGCAGAGCCAGGAUUCUACAAAGGGGUAUGUGACCCCACAGCCUGCACUCUCCAAUUCACUAGAAUACUUCCUCUCAAGAGCUCUGGGAGAAGUGUCAUUGGAGAUGAAGAGAUUA